rnacentral:lncRNA from 1 species
AUGGAAGUUCCUUCUUGUUUGUCUUUGCACCUCAAGGAGAUUAAAAUUUUGAACUUUAAGGGAGACACGCGAAUGUUUGAAAUGAUUAGUUAUUUCUUGGAUAAUGCUAUGGUCCUGGAAAAGCUCAUGAUAGGAAUGGAAUCCCUGUCUGAGACACAACAAUCGAUUGUCUUCAACCAAUUAUUGCAGUUACCAAAGAGUUCAAAGAAAUGUCAAGUUGUGAUUUUCUAGUACUGUUUUAUGUUAUGGUUAGAACUGAUCAGUGUCUGGUUUGGCUUUGUAUAGAUGUGUUGUUUGAAAUAUACAUUUAGUGUUAAUAUCCUAUACAUUCACUAAUAGCAAUACUGAAUAUCUGAUAGUUGGUUUAUAUAUGUAUGUGUAUGUAUAUUUAUGGGUAUAUAUAUGUAUUGUAGCCAAAAAUAGCCUUUGAAAUUGAUAUGUAGCCCAUGAUUGGAAAAAUAGAAACAUAUUUUAAUUUGUAAGAAACAAUCGUAUGAUAUACCUUACACAACAAGCUCUGAUAGGAAGAACAUCGGAUUGAUUUGGAACUAUUUGAGAACAAGAAAAAGGGGAGCUCCCUAGUUAUGGGGAUUUGUACAUUCUUACCAACAGCAAAGAAGGCUUCCAUUGUUCCUGUUGUAGGCUGAUUUGGUUCAACACAGGCCAUUGAAGAUGAAGGUUUGAGAACUAGAGAUUUUAGCCUGCUAGAAUGCUGGAAUUUAGCUUCCUUGAGACUGAAAUGAUGUUUAAGAUCCCUUGAUUUGACUAUGGAACUCACACCAUUGACACCAAUGCUUGCGCCUUACAGGUCAGUCGGUGUUGAUAAUAUCCAACUCUAAACUCGUCUCUCUGGUGCAUUCCUCUGUCAAAAUAUCAUCUGAAAGUUUCAGUGUUGCGUGAAAGAAAUUUGGUGAAAUUAUCAUGAAAUGAGUGAGGUACUUCUACUAAAAAAAUGAGUAAAUUAAUCCUGUAGUAUGAAGAUGAAAGAGCAAAAUAACCAUCCCAUUAAGAAAGAAGCUUUAAGUAACGGUAAAGACAGCGAUGUCGUGCCCAAGAGAACCUAGCUCGGAUACGAGAUUGAAGAACAAAUAGCUGACAAACGGAAAAAUAAAAUAAAAUAAAAAGAACAAAGGGAUGAUGAUUUAUUCAAUGAAAUGAUUUAUUCAAUGAAAUGAGUGCAUAUUUAUAGGCUUAGCAAAGACCUAUUUUUAGGCAAAAUAAAUUCACUAAAAAUUUAGUAACAGCCAAACAAAUAAGUAAAAAAUAGCUAACAAAUAAAUAGCGAAAAUAUGAUGAUAGACUUGGUCAAUAAAUGACCACGUGUUGAUGUUGAUAUCUUCAAUAGUUAGCAUCCGCAUAACCGAAUAAAGAAGGACGAAAAACAAUCCCAUACUCAUAAUAAUGGUGAACGCCAUGAUUGCGACACAUGAAAGUAAAGCCUGCAACCAAUUAUUGCGGUUACUAAAGAGUUCAAAGAAAUGUCAAAUUAUAGUACUAAAUUAUCAGAUUCUUGUGAAAUGUAAAUUUGGUUUUUAGUUAAACUAUUUUAAUUUAAUAGAGGUUUGGAUUUUGUUUUUGCAUUUUUGUAUCUUUCUUCUCUUAUUUGCUAGCAACUUCAUUUAAUUAUUUAAAAGUUUUCAUUUAAAUUAUUAAUCAACUAAAAUAAUUGAUGUAUAAUUUUUUAUUGUGCUCGCUUGUACGAAUCAACAGCUAUUAUUCUUUUUUUUCCUCAGUAUUUUCAUAGAGCUCGCUAGACUUAAAAAAAAAAAAACAUCACAGUAACCUACAUAAAAUAAUACCAAGAAGCCCCUUUACUGUAAUAUAACAUCGACAAGAGGCUGAAGAUCCCUGUCAAGCAAAUUGUACUCUCAUAUGCUCCUAUAAUAUUCACAAUACAUAAUGACAUAAAUUCCAUGAAAGUCCAUAUACUAAGAGUCAAAUUUAUUUACAUUUUUAUUUUCAUAAAGUAGGUUGGAUAAAAUUGAAUUUAACAUUUUUGGUUUUUCAUCGAUUAAAUAAAUGUUUUUAGAAUCAAACUAGAUCGUUCGGUUGAAAAUUUAAUUGAUUGCAGUAUUGGUCUGAAGAUAAAGGUUAAAUCGAUUGACCUGUGAAGUGAAACAAAUAACCAAGUUUAGAAAAAUCGGUGAAUUUUCUCUAUUCUUUAAAUAAUUUAUUUUUUAUUUUACGAUUUUUUUUAAACAAAUAACCAAUCUUAAACCUCCCGCCAAUGCAAGUCCGGUCUGCCUUUAAUCGUCGACAGUGUAUGAUAGUAAGACUGUAUAUCGGAGAGACAAUACACAUCUCCUUUGCGUGCUAGAUGGUCCAGAUUUAAUGAAUCGCUAACUAUUGAAGAGAGGAGAAAUUGUUAUCUCUAAUGUUUCCAACCUUGUGAAUUCAGGUAAUGCUUCCUCUUAUCUAUUAUCUUACUAUGAACAUGUCUGCAAAUGGUAAGAGUUGGCUGAUGGACAUAGGUAAUCUGCAUAUGUAAUGUAAGUUCUUGAAAUGUGAUCAUCACAGAAGUUAAAAACUUAGGUCCUUGACACUAUGGCUUUUCUAGUCUAAUAUGAGAAAUGGAUUGUCCAAUAUCAUGUUAAUUAUGCAUCUUAGAUAGCAAAGGCUAGUUGGAUCGGGAUAUUGAUCUGAAAUAAGAGAUUGGAUUGUCUGACUCUAGAAAUGGUAUGAACCAGUUAAACCAACCGUUGGAGUAAAAAUCUUGAAAAUCUUAUUGGAACUUAUCAUAGGCCAAAGUUAGGUUCAAUCAAGUUUUUGUAAUAACCUAAACUCACAAGAGAAGAAAAAGAGAAAUGUUAUCGUAAUUGUAAAUAUCGAAAAUAAUCAAUUACAAUAAAUACGAGUAUUUAAACAUAAUUUCAUACUAAAUCGAGAAUAAGUGUCUUUAAAUUAGACACACGCAUUAUGUCUUGUUCUUUUCUUCAGGAGAUGCUGCGGGUUACAUACUUCACACUCGAUCAAUUAAAAAAAGACAUGAAGGAAUAGUACAGGUAAUAACUUUGAGAUUUACUUUGUACAUGUAUUAUAUUGCACAUUAGGUAAAAGUUAAGGGAUCAAUUUUGAUAUUAACCCUAAAUCUUAUAUAAAGCUAAGAAAGUACGGCAUUAAUAAGUUUUUUGUAUCUCAAGCGGAUUCUACCAAAGGUAAGAGCUUUCCUUAUCUUCCUUCCACAAAUCCGAGUCGGUGGCUGUCACCGCCACCCACGGCCGCCAUCAGAGUUCGAAGCCAGACAUAAGCUAGUGAAGCGGAACCACAAAACAAAAGCGAAAAACUCUCCGGUUCCUAUCGCCGGCCGUCGGACAGGUCUGCAGUUUUCUUAUCUUAUGGCGAUGUGUUCCGAAGACAGAAUCAGUAGUUUACCGGAUCAUAUUCUUUGUCAUAUUUUGUCUUUCCUUCCUCUUAAAGAAGCAGUUCGAACCUCUGUUAUUUCAACCAAGUGGAGAUACCUCUUUGCUUCAAUUUCUACCAUUGAAUUUGAUGAUAGUUUACUGAGUGGUUUGACUGACAGAAAUGUUGACAGCUUCAAGAACUUUGUUGAUAGGUUAUUGAAAUUCCCCGAUCAGGUAAGUUUAGAUUGCUUUAGGCUAAGUGAUGGGAUUUCAUUGAAUGAUGAAGAUCAUGAUUUUGAUGUUUCUGGUUGGAUAUGUGCUGCAUUGUGCCGUGGUGUUAAGGAAAUUGAUUUGUUCUUAGAUUAUUUUGGGUGUGUUCUCACUGUACCAGCUGUUUUAUUCACUUGCCACUCACUGGUGACACUGAAAUUGAAUGCAGAAUGUCGUAAGAUUGAUGUCCCAUCUGACGUUUGUUUAGGAAAUCUGAAGACUUUGCAGCUUAGAAACACUGUAGUUGACGGUGAUUCCAUUCAUAGGUUAAUUUCCAAUUGCCAUGUCUUAGAAGAUUUGGCUUUUAUUGAAUGUCAUCUUAUGUAUGCAAGUGCGCUCAAUAUCAAAACUCCUUCUCUUAAGAGAUUGGUUUUAGAUUUGGAUGUGGUAGAAUACGGAGAUUUCAAUAAUGUGGUGGUGAUUAAUGCUCCAAAUCUUGAAAAAGCCGAUAUUAGCAUCUAUCUGUUUGGUUUCAGUGAUCGUGAAACAAGUGCAACUCAUCUUAUUCAAGGAAUUAUUCAAGGAAUUUGCACUGUGCGGUCUCUGAAUUUAACCAUUAAUGACCUGGUUAGUAAACUUAGUAUUCAUGUGUGAUUUUCCUUUUUAACAUCAUAUAAUUUAACAUUAUAUAAUAGCCUCAAGUAUUUUUGUGUGCAGAUUUUCCGAACGUGUCGACUUCCUAUAUUUCACAACCUUAUUAAAUUUGAAUAUGGUGUUCUUGGUUCUAAUGGGAGAGAAACUUGGCUUGUGGAGUUUCUACAUUGUGCGCCUAAUCUAAAUACGCUUACCCUCAAUUUUCUGGUAUGAAGUCUUUUUCUGAGUACGUGUAUUCGUUGCGAUUGAUUGUUUUAGUGUCAGUUAUAUUCGUAAUUACGAUAAACUUAAAAGAAAUCGAAAGCAUGUUUGGGAUCAACUAAAUUCAUGGUACAAACCAAGUAACUUUUCUAAGUUUUCUUCUCUUGUCAUGAGUUUAGGUUGUUGUGGAAACUCAAUGGAAGGUUCUACAUAUGGAAGUUCCUUCUUGUUUGUCUUUGCACCUCAAGGAGAUUAAAAUUUUGAACUUUAAGGGAGACAUGCGAAUGUUUGAAAUGAUUAGUUAUUUCUUGGAUAAUGCUAUGGUCUUGGAAAAGCUCAUGAUAGGAAUGAAAUCCCUGUCCGAGACACAACAAUCGAUUGUCUUCAACCAAUUACUGCAGUUACCUAAGAGUUCAAAGAAAUGUCAAGUUGUGAUUUUCUAGUACUGUUUUAUGUUAUGGCUAGAACUGAUCAGUGUCUGGUUUGGUUUUGUAUAGAUGUGUUGUUUGAAAUAUACAUUUGGUGUUAAUAUCCUAUACAGUCACUAAUGGCAAUACUGAAUAUCUGAUAGUUGGUUUAUAUAUGUAUUUGUGAAUGUAUAUUUAUGGGUAUAUAUAUGUAUUGUAGCCAAAAAUAGCCUUUGAAAUUGAUAUGUAGCCCAUGAUUGGAAAAAUAGAAACAUAUUUUAAUUUGUAAGAAACAAUCGUAUGAUAUACCUUACACAACAAGCUCUGAUAGGAAGAACAUCAGAUUGAUUUGGAACUAUUUGAGAAGAAGAAAAAGGGGAGCUCUCUAGUUAUGGUGAUUUGUACAUUCUUACCAACAACAAAGAAGGCUUCCAUUGUUCCUGUUAUAGGCUAGCAUUGGUUCAACACAGGCCAUUGAAGAUGAAGGUUUGAGAACUUGAGAUUUUAGCCUGCUAGAAUGCUGGAAUUUAGCUUCCUUGAGACUGAAAUGAUGUUUAAGAUCCCUUGAUUUGACAAUGGAACUCACACCAUUGACUUCAAUGCUUGCGCCUUACAGGUCAGUCAGUGUUGAGAAUAUCCAACUCUAAACUCGUCUCUCUGGUGCAUUCCUCUGUCAAAAUAUCAUCUGAAAGUUUCAGUGUUGCGUGAAAGAAAUUUGGUGAAAUUAUCAUGAAAUUAUGAGUGAGGUACUUUUACUAAAAAAAAGAGUAAAUUAAUCCUGUAGUAUGAAGAUUAAAGAGCAAAAUAAUCAUCCCAUUAAGAAAAAGGCUUUAAGUAACAGUAAAGACAGCGAUGUCGUGCCCAAGAGAACCUAGCUCGGAUACGAGAUUGAAGAACAAAUAGCUGACAAACGGAAAAAUAAAAUAAAAUAAAAAGAACAAAUAACUAACAGGAAGAAUAAGACGCAAAGGGAUGAUGAUUUAUUCAAUGAAAUGAGUGCAUAUUUAUAGGCUUAGCAAAGACCUAUUUUUAGGCUAAACAAAUUCACUAAAAAUUUGGAAACAGCCAAACAAAUAAGUAAAAAAUAGCUAACAAAUAAAUAGCGAAAAUAUGAGGAUAGACUUGGUCAAUAAAUGACCACGUGUUGACUUGGUCAAUAAAUGACUACGUGUUGAUGUUGAUAUCUUCAACAGUUAGCAUUCGCAUAACCGACUAAAGAAAGUCGAUCAGAAAGAUAAAAAACAAUCCCAUACUCAUAAUAAGGGUGGAUGCCAUGAUUGCAACACAUGAAAGUAAAGCCCGCAACCAAUUAUUGCGGUUACUAAAGAGUUCAAAGAAAUGUCUAAUUGUAGUACUAAAUUAUCAGAUUCUUUUGAAAUGCAAAUUCGGUUUUGAGUCAAACUAUUUUAAUUUAAUAGAGGUUUGGAUUUUGUUUUUGCAUUUUUGUAUUUUUCUUCUCUUAUUUGCUAGCAACUUCAUUUAAUUACUUAAAAUUUUUCAUUUAAAUUAUUAUUCAGUUAAAAUAAUUGAUGUAUGAUUUUUUAUUGUGCUCGCUUGUACGAAUCAACAGCUAUUUUUUUUCCCUCAAUUUUUUCAUAAAAAAUUAAGAUCCCUGUCAAGCAAAUUGUACUCUAAUAUGCUCCUAUAAUAUUCACAAUACAUAAUGACAUAAAUUUUUUGGUAGAAUUAACAUUAAAGUCUAUAUACUAAGAGUUAAAUUCAUUUACAUUUUCAUUUUCAUAAAGUAGGUUGGAUAAAAUUAAAUUUAAUAUUUUUGGUUUUUCAUCGAUUAAAUAAAUGUUUUUAGAUUCAAACUAGAUCGUUCGGUUGAAAAUUUAAUUGAUUGCAGUAUUGGUCUGAAGAUAAAGGUCAAAUCGAUUGACCUAUAAAGUGAAACAAAUAAUCAAGUUUAGAAAAAUCGGUGAAUUUUCUCUAUUCUUUAAAUAAUUUAUUUUUUAUUUUAUGAUUUUUUUUAAACAAAUAACCAAUCUUAAACCUCUCGCCAAUGCAAGUCCGGUCUGCCUUUAAUCGUCGACAAUGUAUGAUAGUAAGACUGUGUAUCGGAGAGACGAUACACAUCUCCUUUGCGUGGCAGAUGGUCCAGAUUUAAUGAAUCGCUAACUAUUGAAGAGAGGAGAAAUUGUUAUCUCUAAUGUUUCCAACCUUGUGAAUUCAGGUAAUGCUUCCUCUUACCUAUUAUCUUACUAUGAACAUGUCUGCAAAUGGUAAGGGUUGGCUGAUGGACAUAGGUAAUCUGCAUAUGUAAUGUAAGUUCUGGAAAUUUGAUCAUCACAGAAGUUAAAAACUUAGGUCCUUUACGCUAUGGCUUUUCUAGUCUAAUAUGAGAAAUGCAUAUCAGGUUAAUUAUGCAUCUUAGAUAGCAAAGGCUUGUUGGAUCGGGAUAUUGAUCUGAAAUAAGAGAUUGGAUUGUCUGACUUUAGAAAUGGUAUGAACCAAUUGAACCGACCGUUGGAGUAAAAAUCUUGAAAAUCUUAUUAGAACUUAUCCUAGGCCAAAGUUGGGUUCAAUCAAGUUUUUGCAAUAACCUAAACUCACAAGAGAAAGAACAAGAGAAAUGUUAUUGUAAUUGUGAAUAUCGAAAAUAAUCAAUUACAAUAAAUACGAGUAUUUAAACAAAAUUUCAUAAUAAAUCGAGAAUAAGUGUCUUUAAAUUGGACACACGCAUUAUGUCUUGUUCAUUUCUUCAGGAGAUGAUGCGGGUUACAUACUUCACAGUUGAUCAAUUAAGAAAAGACAUGAAGGAAUAGUACAGGUAAUAACUUUGAGAUUUACUUUGUACAUGUAUUAUAUUUCACAUUGGGUAAAACUUAAGGGAUCAAUUUUGAUAUUAACCCUAAAUCUUAUAUAAACCUACGAAAGUACGGCAUUAACAAUAAGUUUUUUGUAUCUCUAGCAGCUUCUGCCAAAGGUAAGAACUUUCCUUUUCUUCCUUCCACAGAUCCGAGUCGGUGGCUGUCACCGCUACCCACGGCCGCCAUCAGAGUUCGAAGCCAGACAUAAGCUAGUGAAGCCAAACCACAAAACAAAAGCGAAAAACUCUCCGGUUCCUAUCGCCGGCCGUCGGACAGGUCUGCAGUUUUCUUAUCUUAUGGCGAUGUGUUCCGAAGACAGAAUCAGUAGUUUACCGGAUCAUAUUCUUUGUCAUAUUUUGUCUUUCCUUCCUCUUAAAGAAGCAGUUCGAACCUCUAUUAUUUCAACCAAGUGGAGAUACCUCUUUGCUUCAAUUUCUACCAUUGAAUUUGAUCGUUGUUUACUGAGUGAUUUGACUGACAGAAAUGUUGACAGCUUCAAGAACUUUGUUGAUAGGUUAUUGAAAUUCCCCGAUCAGGUAAGUUUAGAUUGCUUUAGGCUAAGUGAUGGGAUUCCAUGGGAUGGUGAAGAUCAUGAUUUUGAUGUUUUUGGUUGGAUAUGUGCUGCAUUGUGCCGUGGUGUUAAGGAAAUUCAUUUGUACUUAGAUUAUUUUGGGUAUGUUCUCACUGUACCAGCUGUUUUAUUCACUUGCCACUCACUGGUGACACUGAAAUUGAAUGCAGCAUGUCGUAAGAUUUAUGUCCCAUCUGACGUUUGUUUAGGGAAUCUGAAGACUUUGCAGCUUAGAAACUCGGUAGUUGACGGUGAUUCCAUUCAUAGGUUAAUUUCCAAUUGCCAUGUCUUAGAAGAUUUGGCUUUUAUUGAAUGUCAUCUUGUGUAUGCAAGUGCGCUCAAUAUCAAAACUCCUUUUCUUAAGAGAUUUGUUUUAGAUUUAAAUGUGAUAGAAUUCGGAGAUUUCAAUAAUGUGGUGGUGAUUAAUGCUCCAAAUCUUGAAAAAGCCGAUAUUAGCAUCUAUCUGUUUGGUUCCAGUGAUCGUGAAACAAGUGCAACCCAUCUUAUUCAAGGAAUUUGCACUGUGCGGUCUCUGAAUUUAACCAUUGAUGACGUGGUUAGUAAACUUAGUAUUCAUGUGUGAUUUUCCUUUUAACAUCAUAUAAUUUAACAUUAUAUAAUAGCCUCAAGUAUUUUUGUGUGCAGUUUUUCCGAACGUGUCGGCUUCCUAUAUUUCACAACCUUAUUGAAUUUGAAAUAUUUCACAACCUUAUUGAAUUUGAAUAUGGUGGUCUUGGUUCUAAUGGGAGAGGAACUUGGCUUGUGGAGUUUCUACAUUGUGCGCCUAAUCUAAAUACGCUUACCCUCAAUUUUCUGGUAUGAAGUCUUUUUCUGAGUACGUGUAUUCGUUGCGAUUGAUUGUUUUAGUGUCAGUUAUAUUCAUAAUUACGAUAAACUUAAAAGAAAUCGAAAGCAUGUUCGGGAUCAACUAAAUUCAUGGUACAAACCAAGUAACUUUUCUAAGUUUUCUUCUCUUGUCAUGAGUUUAGGUUGUUGUGGAAACUCAAUGGAAGGUUCUACAUAUGGAAGUUCCUUCUUGUUUGUCUUUGCACCUCAAGGAGAUUAAAAUUUUGAACUUUAAGGGAAACAUGCGAAUGUUUGAAAUGAUUAGUUAUUUCUUGGAUAAUGCUAUGGUCUUGGAAAGCUCAUGAUAGGAAUGAAAUCCCUGUCCGAGACACAACAAUCGAUUGUCUUCAACCAAUUAUUGCAGUUACCUAAGAGUUCAAAGAAAUGUCAAGUUGUGAUUUUCUAGUACUGUUUUAUGUUAUGGCUAGAACUGAUCAGUGUCUGGUUUGGUUUUGUAUAGAUGUGUUGUUUGAAAU